UACGUAGGGAGCAAGCGUUGUCCGGAAUCAUUGGGCGUAAAGCGCGCGUAGGCGGCCCGGUAAGUCCGUCGUGAAAGUCAAAGGCUCAACCUUUGAAUGUCGAUGGAUACUGCCGGGCUAGAGUCCGGAAGAGGCGAGUGGAAUUCCUGGUGUAGCGGUGGAAAUGCGCAAGUAUCAGGAGGAACACCAGUGCGAAGGCGG
rnacentral:rRNA from 1 species